UAUGCAGUGAUGACUGAUGAGUCUUAGCAUGUAACAUGGAACAUUUAUAAUGAUUUCUUCUACGAAAUAUUCUUGUUUCGCUCGUUUUUUGAGCAUG